rnacentral:rRNA from 1 species
UACGGAGGAUUCAAGCGUUAUCCGGAUUUAUUGGGUUUAAAGGGUGCGUAGGCGGGCUGUUAAGUCAGCGGUCAAAUGUCGGGGCUCAACCCCGGCCUGCCGUUGAAACUGACACCCUUGAGUGAGUGAGAAGUAAGCGGAAUGCGUGGUGUAGCGGUGAAAUGCAUAGAUAUCACGCAGAACCCCGAUUGCGAAGGCAGCAUACCGGUGCACAACUGACGCUCAGGCACGAAAGCGUGGGUAUCGAACAGG